ensembl:lncRNA uncharacterized LOC107556783
CUUCACGACGUGGUGAGGCACACCUGUUUCAGAGCAGUUAGACACUUGUCAACUUUCUUCCGUGUCUUUAAGAUUUCUUUUAUCGUCGACUUCUACCUGAGAUUCAGUGAACUGUUAAAGUUGUUUGGAUGUGUUAAUUCGGUUCGCACGCAUUUGAACUCAUCUUACAUGUGUUCAAAUGUGUCGAUAGAAAGAAUAACGCGAGGAAGAGCUUGCAACGGGACAGUUCAAGAGGCCACUGGACAACUAUGAAGCUACUUCACCCAUCAAAGAGCCUCCUUUAUAUGCUCCUAACCUUUGGACCCUUUCUAGGUGGGAUGUUGAUCCCUGUUGCAGUGAACAUUGGGGAUACUGCGAUUUUCACUUGUAAUGAGACAUGUAAUGGACAUCUCUUAUGGACUUUCCACACUAACAAUGAAAAUCUGGAAGUUUUAAAAUGUAUCCAAGAGAUUUGCACCAAAGGAGACCACUUUAAGAACAGAGUGAGCCUUAAGCCUGGAAACAUGUCUCUAGGCCUGUAUCCUGUUCUGUACAAUGAUGAAGGCUGGUACAUGGUCAAAUGUGAUUCAGUGUUUCGCUGUGAAUUCCACUUAGAAGCUCUUGUACCAACUACUGUGAUCACCUCAGUCAGAAGCAACGUCACACUACCCUGCUACGCACGCACAGAGAAACGAAUUACUGAUGAUGCUGUGAACAUCCUGUGGAAAAAAGAUGGCCAAACGGUGUUACAAGUUCAAAAAGGAAUUACAACAUAUGGCUCAGGUUUUACAGGCAGGGCAUCAAUUUCACUUCACCAUUAUAAGCACGGAGAUCUUUCCCUUAACAUGCUCAGGGUCACCACAUCAGAUAAGGGAUUGUACCAGUGCUAUCACAGAACUACAGAAGAACUGGGUUAUCCUGGUGCUGUCACUCUCAAUGUUACAGCUGAUCAAAAGUUCUAUACAAAAAAGUUUGGUGGAAAUCUCACCCUGGACCUGUUUGGCUCUGACCGUGUAAAGGUAACUUUCACCGGUCACAUGAACACUUGACAAUAACUGUGGAACACACAUUAUUUAUUCACUCAUACACUUAUUUAUCUAACACACACACUCAGUCUACACCUCAAAUUUGCACAUAAUAUUCAGUACCUGUACAUACAAAAACUGUCUAUUGUAAUAUACCUGCACAUACAACUGUCAAUUUAUAUAUUUUUAUUCCUUAUUUACUUGUUUUAUUUUUUAUUAUCUGUGUUUUUUGUUCUGUCACUGUCAUUCUGUUACACUGUGGAAGCUUCUGUCACGAAAACAAAUUCCUCGUAUGUGUAAACAUACCUUGCAAUAAAGCUCAUUCUGAUAUUUUUACUUCAGGAAGGCCUUAUAUCUGCAGUCUUGGUAAAAUUUAGGAAAACUUUUUUUGGCAAAAAAGAUCAAUUUGUAGUGAUGUAUGAAGCACAGCUCACACAGAAGUCACUUUCAAUUCCAAAUACCCACAGAAUGUAAAAUACUUUAAUUACAAAUCACAUAAUGGCCUUUUUCCUGUUAUGUUUACAUUGCUGACAGGCAUCUUAAAUCAUUAAGGUUGGGCUGCACAACUAUUAUUCUUGCCAUAAUGAUAAUGUCAGAUGUGGCCACACUGUGCUGCUUCUUAAGCAUUAUUCUGCACUUUUUCUUGAUAAACUUUAUUCUGCAC